GACGAACCGUGCGACCGUUGUUCGGAAUCACUGGGCUUAAAGGGCGCGUAGGCGGGCCAUAAAGUCAGGGGUGAAAUCCUCCAGCUUAACUGGAGAACUGCCUUUGAUACUGAUGGUCUCGAGUAAGGUAGGGGCAUGCGGAACUGAUGGUGGAGCGGUGAAAUGUGUUGAUAUCAUCAGGAACACCGGUGGCGAAGGCGGCAUGCUGGACCUUCACUGACGCUGAGGCGCGAAAGCUAGGGGAGCGAACGGG
rnacentral:rRNA from 1 species